AUUGAACGCUGGCGGCACGCUUUACACAUGCAAGUCGAACGGUAGAGGGGGCAACCCCUUGAGAGUGGCGAACGGGUGAGUAAUGCAUCGGAACGUGCCCAGUCGUGGGGGAUAACGCAGCGAAAGCUGUGCUAAUACCGCAUACGAUCUCUGGAUGAAAGCGGGGGACCGAAAGGCCUCGCGCGAUUGGAGCGGCCGAUGUCAGAUUAGGUAGUUGGUGGGGUAAAGGCUCACCCAGCCAACGAUCUGUAGCUGGUCUGAGAGGACGACCAGCCACACUGGAACGGAGACAGGGCCCAGACGACUACGGGAGGCAGCAAGGGGGAAUUUUGGACAAUGGGCGCAAGCCUGUUCCAGCAAUGCCGCGUGCGGGAAGAAGGCCUUCGGGUUGUAAACUGCUUUUGUACGGAACGAAAAGGUCUGGGUUAAUACCCUGGGCACAUGACGGUACCGUAAGAAUAAGCACCGGCUAACUACGUGCCAGCAGCCGCCGUAA
rnacentral:rRNA from 1 species